rnacentral:rRNA from 1 species
AGCGGCGGACGGGUGAGUAACACGUAGGCAACCUGCCCUCAAGCUUGGGACAACUACCGGAAACGGUAGCUAAUACCGAAUACAUGAUUUGUUCGCCUGAACGAAUUUGGAAAGACGGAGCAAUCUGUCACUUGAGGAUGGGCCUGCGGCGCAUUAGCUAGUUGGUGAGGUAACGGCUCACCAAGGCGACGAUGCGUAGCCGACCUGAGAGGGUGAUCGGCCACACUGGGACUGAGACACGGCCCAGACUCCUACGGGAGGCAGCAGUAGGGAAUCUUCCGCAAUGGACGCAAGUCUGACGGAGCAACGCCGCGUGAGUGAUGAAGGUUUUCGGAUCGUAAAGCUCUGUUGCCAGGGAAGAACGUCCGAUAGAGUAACUGCUAUCGGAGUGACGGUACCUGAGAAGAAAGCCCCGGCUAACUACGUGCCAGCAGCCGCGGUAAUACGUAGGGGGCAAGCGUUGUCCGGAAUUAUUGGGCGUAAAGCGCGCGCAGGCGGCUUUUUAAGUCCGGUGUCACAGCCCAAGGCUCAACCUUGGGUCGC